AUUGAACGCUGGCGGCAUGCCUAACACAUGCAAGUCGAACGGCAGCACAGCCCGCAAGGGUGGGUGGCGAGUGGCGGACGGGUGAGGAAUACAUGGGAAUCUACCCUGUCGUGGGGGAUAACGUAGGGAAACUUACGCUAAUACCGCAUACGACCUCCGGGUGAAAGCGGCGGACCGCAAGGCGUCGCGCGACUGGAUGAGCCCAUGUCGGAUUAGCUAGUUGGCGGGGUAAAGGCCCACCAAGGCGACGAUCCGUAGCUGGUCUGAGAGGAUGAUCAGCCACACUGGAACUGAGACACGGUCCAGACUCCUACGGGAGGCAGCAGUGGGGAAUAUUGGACAAUGGGCGCAAGCCUGAUCCAGCAAUGCCGCGUGGGUGAAGAAGGCCUUCGGGUUGUAAAGCCCUUUUGUACGGGAAGAAAUCCUGUCGGUUAAUACCCGGCGGGGAUGACGGUACCGUAAGAAUAAGCACCGGCUAACUUCGUGCCAGCCGCCGCCGUAA
rnacentral:rRNA from 1 species